AAAAGAGGAGUGGUGAACGGGUGAGUAACACGUGGGUAACCUGCCCAUCAGAAGGGGAUAACACUUGGAAACAGGUGCUAAUACUGUAUAACAAUCGAAACCGCAUGGUUUUGAUUUGAAAGGCGCUUUCGGGUGUCGCUGAUGGAUGGACCCGCGGUGCAUUAGCUAGUUGGUGAGGUAACGGCUCACCAAGGCCACGAUGCAUAGCCGACCUGAGAGGGUGAUCGGCCACAUUGGGACUGAGACACGGCCCAAACUCCUACGGGAGGCAGCAGUAGGGAAUCUUCGGCAAUGGACGAAAGUCUGACCGAGCAACGCCGCGUGAGUGAAGAAGGUUUUCGGAUCGUAAAACUCUGUUGUUAGAGAAGAACAAGGAUGAGAGUAACUGUUCAUCCCUUGACGGUAUCUAACCAGAAAGCCACGGCUAACUACGUGCCAGCAGCCGCGGUAAUACGUAGGUGGCAAGCGUUGUCCGGAUUUAUUGGGCGUAAAGCGAGCGCAGGCGGUUUCUUAAGUCUGAUGUGAAAGCCCCCGGCUCAACCGGGGAGGGUCAUUGGAAACUGGGAGACUUGAGUGCAGAAGAGGAGAGUGGAAUUCCAUGUGUAGCGGUGAAAUGCG
rnacentral:rRNA from 1 species